UCUUGGGUGUCAUUCCUCAGACUUCAUCCUUUUUUUUUUUUGAGAAAGAGUUUCUUACUAAGUAGGCUAAGCUGGUUAAUCAGGAGUCCCAGGGGAUUCUGCCUCCCUAACUUUGGGUUUAUAAGAGCCAACUAUUGCCCUAGCUUGCUUUGCUUUUAACAUAGGUAUUAACAGUCACAUUUCUGGUUGUUUUGAUCUAUUGAACUGUCUUCUCAGCCUCCAGCAUUUUUAAUGUAUCAAAGUUUAUCCCUUUACCUACUAAAGAGAUCUUCUGUUCAGUUCUCAGCAUCCUCAUCAGGCCUGUAAUUGUAGCUCCAAAGGCUUGGAUACCCUCUUCUUGCCACUGGAGCAACUACACAUACAAACGCAAAAACAUGGAAAUAAAAAUAAGUCUUUAAAAAUAAAUCUUGGUUACUCCCAAGUUUUAUCAAUUUUUGUGUGUAGUUAUUAUGAAGAUUUGUGUGCAAGCUUUUGUGUAGGCAUAAAUUUUCAACUCUGGGGUCAGUAAACAUCAGGGAAAGCCAGAGAUGGUAGUGCCUACCUAUAUAAUCCCUGUAACUCAUACAGCAGAGGCAGGAGGAUUAUCAUGAGUUUGAGGCAAACCUGACUUAUGUAGUAGUGAGAUUUUGUACAGACAACCAUCACACACCAAGGAGCUUUGUUGCUAGGUAAUGUGAUAGGAGUAUGUAGCUUUAUAAGAUGCUGCCAAGCUGUUCCGCAGCAUCACAGCACUGGGGUUCAUCACAGCACUGGGGUCACUAGUGUUCUGCUUUUGGGCAUUGCCAUAGAUUAUAGUUGUAUAUUGGAACUUGUGUUUUCCUGAAGACAGAAGCUGUAAAGCAGCCUCAUGAGCUCUUCAGUCAUUGUUCCGUGUGUGUCUUCUUUGAUGAGUUGGGAAGCUGGCUCCUCAGUGUUGAGUUUUGAAUUGUUGAUAUAUUUUACAUAAUAGUCCUUUAUUAGAUGUGUCUUCCAUUUGUAUUUUCUUCUGGUCUAAUUGUCUCCUCGUUUUCUUGGCCUUGCAGCACGGUGGUAUAAAAGAACAUUUUCCCCGGGAGACAGGUAGCUCUUGAAAACCAACAUCAGCUUGUUUGAAGAGACUUUUAAAUGAGUAGUUAAUAGUGUAUAUGAGAAUAACAUAUCGGAGGGCAGAAGAAAGGAUUGAUUCCCUUGAAACUGAAGCUACAAGCAUCUGUGAGCUGUCAUAUGGGUCCUGGGAACAGAGCUCAGGUCCUUCAGAAGAGCAGCAAAUGCUAGUAGCAGUUGAGCCACCACAAGCCCCAUUGAACUAGGGCAGGUUACCAGCAAGACUCUAGAGCUCAGAAAAGUUAAAAUUGUAACUGUUUUAGUAGUUUUAAUUUUAAUUGUAUUACUUAGAAUCAGUUGCCAAACUGCAUUGCAACUAUUUUAUUGUUUUAACCAAAUUUCAACCAGGAUUUGUAGAAAUUCCAGUUUUACAGUAUAGGGGUUGUUCAAGAACAGUACACUGUUAACUGGUUUGAAUAUAAAUUAUUCAAAAUUCAAAACAUAAAUUUCCAGUCUGAAUAUAAAUUAACUUUUAUUCCUCUCUACAUAUAAAAUACAAAUUCCCACUGUAGUAUACUAAUAUGUUCACACACUGGACAUGGUGAUACAUGUUUAAAUUCUAGCACUUGGGAGGCAAGAGUCAGGAAGAUCUCUUGAGUUUGAAUCAGACCAGGCCUACAUAGUGAAUUCCAGGUGAGCUAAGGCUAUACAGUGAGAACCUGUUUCAGAAACAAAAAUACCACCACCACCACCACCACCACCAAAUAUUUCACAGAAACAUUUUUAGAACUUUUGAUACAUAACAUUGUCACCUAAUAUGAUAUAACAUGAUAUAUAAUAUGUUUCCUGCAUAACAUUAUAAUUUUAGAUAAAAUAUUUAAAAUGUAAGUUCUAAACAUUAAAAAAUGAGCAAAAUCCUGUAAAUUUAGGAGUAACUCAUAAUUGUGUAAACAAUGUUCAAUUUAAUUCUAACACACUGACUUUUUAAAGAAAUAAUCAUUGAGGGGCUGGAGAGGUGGCUCAGUUAAAAUCACUCUUCCAAAGAGGACUUGGGUUCAGUUACCAGCACCCACAACUGACUAUAACUCCACUUCUGGUGGAUCUGGUGACCUCUUCUGCCUUCCACAGGCCCCAGGCAUGCAUGUGGUACCCAGGCAUAGAUACUAACAAAACACCACAACAUUU
rnacentral:lncRNA from 1 species